UACGUAGGGUGCAAGCGUUAAUCGGAAUUACUGGGCGUAAAGCGUGCGCAGGCGGUUUCGUAAGUCUGUCGUGAAAUCCCCGGGCUUAACCUGGGAAUGGCGAUGGAGACUGCGAGGCUAGAGUUUGGCAGAGGGGGGUAGAAUUCCACGUGUAGCAGUGAAAUGCGUAGAGAUGUGGAGGAAUACCGAUGGCGAAGGCAGCCCCCUGGGCCAAUACUGACGCUCAUGCACGAAAGCGUGGGGAGCAAACAGG
rnacentral:rRNA from 1 species